UACGGGGGGGGCAAGCGUUGUUCGGAAUUACUGGGCGUAAAGGGCGUGCAGGUGGUCUGUUAAGUCUGGCGUGAAAGCUCCUGGCUAAACCGGGAGAGGUCGUUGGAUACUGGCGGACUAGAGGACGGUAGAGGCGUGUGGAAUUCCGGGUGUAGUGGUGAAAUGCGUAGAGAUCCGGAGGAACACCAGUGGCGAAGGCGACACGCUGGGCCGUACCUGACACUGAUACGCGACAGCAUGGGGAGCGAACGGG
rnacentral:rRNA from 1 species